CCUACUCUCUUGGUCCAGAGGAGCUCUGUGGCUGGAUUCUGACCACAGACUUUUUCGCCCUUACUUGCAGAGAAGGGUUAUGCUGACACAGAAGGAGGGACUUGGAGAGGGAAGAUUAACCUUUCGCUGGCCACAAUUCGUUCCCUCUUAUCGCGGAGGAUUCGGCAACCCCCCCCCCCCGCUCCCACCCAGCCUAUCUGUCUGAAUUGCUGAAAGCAUAAUGCUCCCAUAUGAGAGAUAAUGUUGCUGUAAAAGACAGAAGGAUCUGCCUGUGUGUUCGAGGUGCGGCCUGAUGUCAUCCUUCAGGAUGGUGCCCCCGUGGAAACCAAGCAAAACUCUCUGGAGCUUUCCUAAAAAAGUUUCUUCCAAGCAUUAAGACCGUGAUGUCAGUCAGCCUCAGAGGAACAGCAUCAGAUCACCUGAGAAUCAGCAUGCAAGCCUCAGGUUUGAAAGGCACCAGGACACCUGCAAGAGAAGCACCAGUUCUGCCUCACCCAUGAUGAGGUUCAUCCAGAGAUGUCACCUCAGAUGGUGACAGGGGGACAACAACGAGUGCCCUCACAGCACUGUCAGUGUGUGUGACAAUGGUCAGAAAGCAGGGAUGGGAAGUGCUGCCUGGACUGCCCCCAGCAGAAAGCCCCGUGGUGUCCCCUCCCCGCUGGUGCAGCGGCUCCGGGCUGCCACCGCAGAUCAUUUGGCAAAUUUCACGGGCUUGAUACAGGCACAAAUGUUCACAGCCUGCACUUGUCUAACUGGUGAGACUGUCCAGUCCCUCUUGUGUCAUUUGUGGUGGCAUUACAGACUUUGAGAACAAUCUGAAGGACAAACCCCAAGCUUUUUGGAGGCUGCUCAGCCCAAAAUACGAUUUUAUCGUGAGAGAGGCAUCACAAAGCCCUGAGUACAACAUAAUGGCAAGCCAGAGCUAUUCCGACGUGAGUGCCUCCUCUGCACUGCAAUGCAGGGAUGGAGCUAAGGAUGAGCAAUGGCAGCACUGUCAGGAUUACAGCCAGGAGCAGCCCUGCCGGUUGGAUGGGCAGACGACGGCACCGACAGAGGCUUCCCAGCGCGACACCCCAAGGCUUUCCCUUCCUCGGGCCAACGUCCUCAUCCAGCAGCUGAAUUCCUGCUCAGAAAGAAGUGGCGAAGAACAGCUGUUGCUCACCUGAAGGAAAAUCACUUGUCUGGCAGAGGCAGAGGCUGGAAUUUGCUGUUUGGUUUUACUCUGGAGGAGUUUUUGUGGGCACAUCUCCCCGUGCCCAGUACAGCGGGUGGCACUGCUGGGACAAAGCCAACCUGGCAGAGCCAGGCAGAGCCUCCCCAAGCUGGGAUUCAGAGCAACCCCACCGACUCAGAUAUGGGCAUCUGUUGCUUUUACACCUCAGGGGGUUGAGGCUGGAACACAGGAGCUGAACUUUAAAAAUACCUCCAAAGAUGUUACUUUUUGCUGACAAGAUAAUACUCAAAUUGACUUUUCGUUUAGCCUCCUGAUGGCCUGGUGUGAAUAUACACUUGGCAUUAUUUUGCACCACCUUCCUGUUGGAUCAACUAACAUGAUAUAGUCUCAGGAUGCAGAGGAUACUUAUGUUUGGCAUUAAAAAAAUUAAUUAUGUAAAUCCUGUUGUCGGAAAGUUACUACAAAGUCAACUGGGCAAAUGAGCCAAAGAAAGCCUUUCCUUUAUAUUUUUCUUCGAUUUUUUCCCCUCUUUUUCCUGAAGCAUUGCUGAAGUUGGAAGACAGUAGUGAUGAUGCACAGCACACGUUCUAAAAUGCAUCUACCCUAUGUGAAUGUACCCUGUCCUGCUGGUUCAGUUUGGGAGUUCACUGGGAAUGUUUUGGAGACUUUUAGCAUCUCAAGUAUAUUUCUGGAAAGGAAGCAAACAAUCCAGGGUCUGUACACUGGACUUUUUAAAUUAACAAAAUAUGUAUUGCUUACUUCAAAAAACACUUUGCCAAAAAAUCUGGGCUAGGGAGAUGGCAUUUGGCACUGGAUUAAUUUCAGAUGAAGUUUUAGGACCAGCCUAGGCUGUAGGUCUGUAUUCAGUGAUGUUUAAAAGUAAUACCCUGGCCAGUAACUGCUGGGAUCAGGCUCUGCCAAAUUUUUGUUACCUUGGGCUUCAUUAGCAUGUGAAAACGGACUCCUCCUGGCUUUGUGUCUCACUGAAAAACAAACCACCAGGGCUGGUUCGCAGCCCUCUCCUUUGGCCAGGGGUGUAGAGCUGCCUCAUGCACUCAACUUUAAUUUUAAAGGUCAUUUUUUCCCCUACAGCUCUUCAAAAGUUACCAGAGUGAAGGUUCCUGAUUACAACAGUGAAGAGUAACUCAGGUAGGAUCCUAAAGGACCCAUGAGCAUUGGUUGACCAACUACUUAGCAGAAUGACUAAGUAUUUUGUAAUUAAGUCCUUAAUUAAAAUUGUGGUUUUGCUAAGAAUAAAAUCCUGCCCUGCCAUAUGAAAUAUUUCCUGUACACUUAAGGGGACCACGGGUUGCAUUCACUAUCUCCAGCCAUUCUAAUAGUGAGUGAACCAGAACACUUAAAAUAUUUGCAGAAAGCAAUUCUGAAUGAAUAACACAGAUAACUAA